AAACUUUCCGUCAAGACGAAGAAGCCCAAGAAGCUCUAAAGUGACUAGAGGGAAAAAGGUUACAAAGCAGCUUUAUGGUGGGGUCCGUAUGAAGAGGAACUGAGGCCACAUGCCAACAGCCAUGUGAGUGAACCAUCUUGAAAGAGCAUCCCCCAGAUGCAGCCCAACCUUCAGAUGACUGCAGCCCUGUCUGUCAUCCUGAUUGCAACCUCAUGAGAUGAGAGAGAAUCAUCCAGGCAGAAUAACGGCCUUCCAAAAAAUGUCCACAUCCUAAUUCCUGGA